UUCUUGUGUCGUCUGUUUGGCGCUAUAGUACUUCAGCCAUUUAAUGAUGCUCUCUCCACACUGGGAUAAAUAAAAACAAACACAUCACAUCUAAUGUGGACAUAUCAGAUGCCUUGUGAAACAUAAAGGAACAAUUCAGUUUCGAGCUAUGGCACUUGCCGCAUAGAUGUGGGGGGGCCUUGCACCAAUAGUGAUAGUUACCACUGCAUUUAGAAAUUGAAAGCAUUCGUGCAGACAAGGAUGAUUCUUUAUAUUUUUGGCUACCACUUCAAAUGCCUCCACCAAGUGUUACAAUGCUGCAUGCAGCCAUACUAAGGAUCUCGCAACAACACCUGCAGGUAAAAAGCAGAAGCAGUCAAAGUGCUGGUGUGUUCUGGACACUAUGUUUGAAAACUUUUAGGCAAGAAGAGUGCAAGAAGCAGACAUAACUGCAUUUAUUUCCAUAAUUCCCCAUUUAAAUGGCCUUUUCUUUUUGCUUAGACAAUGCCUACGCCUAGCCACAGCAGCUCCCUCAUACAGACUCCGCAAACCAAGAGGCCGUGGAGGCAAAUGCAGGCAGCCAGCACACCUCGAACAGCCACCUUGACUGCGGGUGUGUCACCCUAGUCGCCAAGGAAACAUUUGAGGGAAAGUGACAGGCAAUGUGAACAGCCACUCCUCCAUGUAAACAAUACUCUUUCUCUCGGAUGACUCCUACGCCUCACCACGCCAGCACACUUGUGCACAAAACGUGCAGGUCAGAGGCAAGAAGCAGUGGCACUGGUGUCGACAUUUACCCAAUUUCUUUUUCUUACACUGAGGCAGCCAGCACACCUCGAACAGCCACCUCGACUGCGGGUGUGUUAGUUGAUCCCUGUUGUACAUAUGCUCAUAAUAAACUUCAGUAAACUUGAACUUCAUAAUAAACUUGAAGGCAAAUGGUA